UAGGGAAUCUUCCGCAAUGGACGCAAGUCUGACGGAGCAACGCCGCGUGAGUGAAGAAGGAUUUCGGUUCGUAAAACUCUGUUGUCAGAGAAGAACAGCGCAUAGAGUAACUGUUAUGCGUGUGACGGUAUCUAACCAGAAAGCCACGGCUAACUACGUGCCAGCAGCCGCGGUAAUACGUAGGUGGCAAGCGUUGUCCGGAUUUAUUGGGCGUAAAGCGAGCGCAGGCGGUCAAUUAAGUCUGAUGUGAAAGCCCCCGGCUCAACCGGGGAGGGUCAUUGGAAACUGGUUGACUUGAGUGCAGAAGAGGAGAGUGGAAUUCCAUGUGUAGCGGUGAAAUGCGUAGAUAUAUGGAGGAACACCAGUGGCGAAGGCGACUCUCUGGUCUGUAACUGACGCGGAGGUUCGAAAGCGUGGGUAGCAAACAGG
rnacentral:rRNA from 1 species